rnacentral:rRNA from 1 species
CGGCAGGCUACACAUGCAGUCGAGCGGUAGCACAGAGAGCUUGCUCUCGGGUGACGAGCGGCGGACGGGUGAGUAAUGUCUGGGAAACUGCCUGAUGGAGGGGGAUAACUACUGGAAACGGUAGCUAAUACCGCAUAAUGUCGCAAGACCAAAGUGGGGGACCUUCGGGCCUCAUGCCAUCAGAUGUGCCCAGAUGGGAUUAGCUAGUAGGUGGGGUAACGGCUCACCUAGGCGACGAUCCCUAGCUGGUCUGAGAGGAUGACCAGCCACACUGGAACUGAGACACGGUCCAGACUCCUACGGGAGGCAGCAGUGGGGAAUAUUGCACAAUGGGCGCAAGCCUGAUGCAGCCAUGCCGCGUGUGUGAAGAAGGCCUUCGGGUUGUAAAGCACUUUCAGCGGGGAGGAAGGCGUUAAGGUUAAUAACCUUGUCGAUUGACGUUACCCGCAGAAGAAGCACCGGCUAACUCCGUGCCAGCAGCCGCGGUAAUACGGAGGGUGCAAGCGUUAAUCGGAAUUACUGGGCGUAAAGCGCACGCAGGCGGUCUGUCAAGUCGGAUGUGAAAUCCCCGGGCUCAACCUGGGAACUGCAUUCGAAACUGGCAGGCUAGAGUCUUGUAGAGGGGGGUAGAAUUCCAGGUGUAGCGGUGAAAUGCGUAGAGAUCUGGAGGAAUACCGGUGGCGAAGGCGGCCCCCUGGACAAAGACUGACGCUCAGGUGCGAAAGCGUGGGGAGCAAACAGGAUUAGAUACCCUGGUAGUCCACGCCGUAAACGAUGUCGAUUUGGAGGUUGUGCCCUUGAGGCGUGGCUUCCGGAGCUAACGCGUUAAAUCGACCGCCUGGGGAGUACGGCCGCAAGGUUAAAACUCAAAUGAAUUGACGGGGGCCCGCACAAGCGGUGGAGCAUGUGGUUUAAUUCGAUGCAACGCGAAGAACCUUACCUGGUCUUGACAUCCACAGAACUUAGCAGAGAUGGUUUGGUGCCUUCGGGAACUGUGAGACAGGUGCUGCAUGGCUGUCGUCAGCUCGUGUUGUGAAAUGUUGGGUUAAGUCCCGCAACGAGCGCAACCCUUAUCCUUUGUUGCCAGCGGUCCGGCCGGGAACUCAAAGGAGACUGCCAGUGAUAAACUGGAGGAAGGUGGGGAUGACGUCAAGUCAUCAUGGCCCUUACGACCAGGGCUACACACGUGCUACAAUGGCAUAUACAAAGAGAAGCGACCUCGCGAGAGCAAGCGGACCUCAUAAAGUAUGUCGUAGUCCGGAUUGGAGUCUGCAACUCGACUCCAUGAAGUCGGAAUCGCUAGUAAUCGUAGAUCAGAAUGCUACGGUGAAUACGUUCCCGGGCCUUGUACACACCGCCCGUCACACCAUGGGAGUGGGUUGCAAAAGAAGUAGGUAGCUUAACCUUCGGGAGGCGCUACCACUUG